rnacentral:rRNA from 1 species
UACGGGGGGGGCAAGCGUUGUUCGGAAUUACUGGGCGUAAAGGGCUCGUAGGCGGCCAACUAAGUCAGACGUGAAAUCCCUCGGCUUAACCGGGGAACUGCGUCUGAUACUGGAUGGCUUGAGUUUGGGAGAGGGAUGCGGAAUUCCAGGUGUAGCGGUGAAAUGCGUAGAUAUCUGGAGGAACACCGGUGGCGAAGGCGGCAUCCUGGACCAACACUGACGCUGAGGCGCGAAAGCCAGGGGAGCAAACGGGG